CCCGCUGAACUUAAGCAUAUCAAUAAGCGGAGGAAAAGAAACUAACAAGGAUUCCCCUAGUAACUGCGAGUGAAGCGGGAAAAGCUCAAAUUUAAAAUCUGGUGGCCUUUGGCCAUCCGAGUUGUAAUUUAGAGAAGCGUCUUCCGCGCCGGACCGUGCACAAGUCUCCUGGAAUGGAGCGUCAUAGAGGGUGAGAAUCCCGUCUUUGGCACGGACGACCGGGGCUUUUGUGAUGCGCUCUCAAAGAGUCGAGUUGUUUGGGAAUGCAGCUCAAAAUGGGUGGUGAACUCCAUCUAAAGCUAAAUAUUGGCGAGAGACCGAUAGCGAACAAGUACCGUGAGGGAAAGAUGAAAAGCACUUUGGAAAGAGAGUGAAACAGUACGUGAAAUUGUUGAAAGGGAAACGCUUGAAGUCAGUCGCGUCGACCGAGACUCAGCCUCGCCUCGGCUUGGUGUACUUCUCGGCCGACGGGUCAGCAUCAAUUUUGCCCCUUGGAUAAUGGCGAGGGAAAUGUGACACCUUUACAGGUGUGUUAUAGUCUCUCGUCGCAUGCAAGGGUCGGGAUUGAGGAACUCCGCACGCGCCUUCUGGUGUCGCGGUUUUGCCCACGAUACGUGCUUAGGAUGUUGGCGUAAUGGCUUUAAACGACCCGUCUUGAAACACGG
rnacentral:rRNA from 1 species